rnacentral:lncRNA from 1 species
AUAAGAAACGCUCAAUUUUUCGCGCUCUUGCUACGGUUAAACGAUCUUCUUCGGAUAAUUCGUCUAAUCCAAGAAUAGCUAUAAUAUCUUGAAGUUCUUUGUAACGUUGUAAAGUUUGCUUAACCUGUUGUGCAGUUUCAUAAUGUUCGUCACCAACGAUCCGGGGUUGUAGCAUAGUUGACGUUGAAUCUAAAGGAUCUACUGCUGGAUAGAUACCUUUGGCAGCCAAUCCUCUUGAUAAUACGGUCGUAGCAUCUAAAUGUGCAAAUGUCGUAGCAGGAGCAGGGUCGGUCAAAUCAUCUGCAGGUACAUAAACAGCUUGAAUAGAAGUUAUGGACCCUUCUUUGGUAGAAGUAAUUCUUUCUUGUAAAGAACCCAUUUCGGUACUAAGGGUUCUUUUUGUCAAGCGUGGCAACCCAGAACUAGAAGUAGUAGGAUUCAUUCUCAUAAUAUAAUAAUAAAGUAAAAAUAUCUAAUUUUUGCGAAAAUUCUCGCAUUCAAAAUAAAUGUCCGAUGACAAGUUGAUCGGUUAAUUCAAUAAGAAAUGGGAGUUAGCACAU